AUUGAACGCUGGCGGCAUGCUUUACACAUGCAAGUCGAACGGCAGCACGGACUUCGGUCUGGUGGCGAGUGGCGAACGGGUGAGUAAUACAUCGGAACGUACCCAGUAAUGGGGGAUAACUAUCCGAAAGGAUAGCUAAUACCGCAUACGCCCUACGGGGGAACGAGGGGGAUCGCAAGACCUCUUGUUAUUGGAGCGGCCGAUGGCUGAUUAGCUAGUUGGUGGGGUAAAGGCUCACCAAGGCGACGAACAGUAGCGGGUCUUAGAGGACGAUCCGCCACACUGGAACGGAGACACGGUCCAGACUGCUACGGGAGGCAGCAGUGGGGAAUCUUGGACAAUGGGCGCAAGCCUGAUCCAGCAAUGCCGCGUGCGUGAAGAAGGCCUUCGGGUUGUAAAGCGCUUUUGUCAGGGAGCAAAUCCUUGUGGCUAAUACCCACCGGGGAUGAGAGUACCUGAAGAAUAAGGACCGGCUAACUACGUGCCAGCAGCCGCAGUAAAAC
rnacentral:rRNA from 1 species